UUGCUACAUGACCUAGCGGCGGACGGGUGAGUAAUACUUAGGAAUCUGCCUAUUAGUGGGGGACAACGUUCCGAAAGGAGCGCUAAUACCGCAUACGCCCUACGGGGGAAAGCAGGGGAUCUUCGGACCUUGCGCUAAUAGAUGAGCCUAAGUCGGAUUAGCUAGUUGGUAGGGUAAAGGCCUACCAAGGCGACGAUCUGUAGCGGGUUUGAGAGGAUGAUCCGCCACACUGGGACUGAGACACGGCCCAGACUCCUACGGGAGGCAGCAGUGGGGAAUAUUGGACAAUGGGCGCAAGCCUGAUCCAGCCAUGCCGCGUGUGUGAAGAAGGCCUUAUGGUUGUAAAGCACUUUAAGCGAGGAGGAGGCUUACCUAGAUAAUACCUAGGAUAAGUGGACGUUACUCGCAGAAUAAGCACCGGCUAACUCUGUGCCAGCAGCCGCGGAAUACAGAGGGGCAAGCGUUAAUCGGAAUUACUGGGCGUAAAGCGCGCGUAGGUGGCCAUUUAAGUCAAAUGUGAAAUCCCCGAGCUUAACUUGGGAAUUGCAUUCGAUACUGGGUGGCUAGAGUAUAGGAGAGGAAGGUAGAAUUCCAGGUGUAGCGGUGAAAUGCGUAGAGAUCUGGAGGAAUACCGAUGGCGAAGGCAGCCUUCUGGCCUAAUACUGACACUGAGGUGCGAAAGCAUGGGGGAGCAAAACAGGAUUAGAUACCCUGGUAGUCCAUGCCGUAAACGAUGUCUACUAGCCGUUGGGUCCUUUGAGGACUUAUGUGCAGCUAACGCGAUAAGUAGACCG
rnacentral:rRNA from 1 species